GGCUGUGCCAGGUGCACAUUUAGCACCCCUUGCCUUCUCUAGGAGCCGCUCCUAGCUUGCCUUAUCACAUCCACGUGACCCCUCAGAGCACAGCAGCUUCUGAUUCUCCAUCCUAUUUUCUUCUCUUGACUGAUAUAUUUGGGCACUUCUAGGGAAUUCAGAAACCAAAGGAAGGGGGGAAGUGCUGGCUUUUGCUCCUGCCCAGCUGAAAGUCUUGAAAACAGUUCAGUAAUUCUGGGCAGGUUUAUCUCCUUAAAUUAAAAUCCAAUAUGGGCCCCUCUGUACUUAACAUUCCAAAUGCUCAUUCCAAACACUUUGCCAACGAAGGCAAACAGUAGAGAAGUUAAAUACAGUGCUGCCCUUGAGGCUCUCCAAGGGAAAGGUGAAUGAAUAUUCUCCAGGCCCUCUGCUUAUUCCUCUCUGCCUAUUGUGAAGGCAAUCAGGCCAGACUAUUGAGGGCAUCUGGCAGCAGGACUCAGGCAGGUAUGAAGUAGCCAGCCACAAGUGUGAAAAGGAAGAGUGCUGAAACUGCCUAGUCAUGCGAUAUCCCUAAUGCACUGUGCUUUCUUCCCUCAAGAACCACCCCUUCUGGUUCCGCUGCAUGUACAUGCUGAUCUGGGGCAAGUUUGUGCUGUACAAAUAUGUCACCUGUUGGCUGGUCACAGAAGGAGUAUGCAUUUUGACGGGCCUGGGCUUCAAUGGCUUUGAAGAAAAGGGCAAGGCAAAGUGGGAUGCCUGUGCCAACAUGAAGGUGUGGCUCUUUGAAACAAACCCCCGCUUCACUGGCACCAUUGCCUCAUUCAACAUCAACACCAACGCCUGGGUGGCCCGGUGAGCUGCUGGUGGGGAGCCUGGACCCUGGUUCCUUCCUUCCACUGUCUUCCCAGAUGGGAGGGCAGGGGUGUACCAUGUCACCCCUAUGUGUCUUUCCCACCUGGGCAGAACCCCCUGUCGCUCACAAUGACUUUGACCCCCACCUAUACCCCCCCGCAAAAAAACCAUUACUGUCAUAUUUGAAAAAAAGGCAAGAUAUAAAAAUGCGUUAAGACCUGGGUGUUACUCCAGCUCUGCCAAUGGACUUAUGUCCUCCACUGCCCUGUUUAUCAACAGCUUUACUUGUUUGUCCCCAC
rnacentral:sRNA from 1 species